rnacentral:rRNA from 1 species
UAAGGAAUAUUGGUCAAUGGACGCAAGUCUGAACCAGCCAUGCCGCGUGGAGGAUGAAGGUCCUCUGGAUUGUAAACUUCUUUUAUCUGGGACGAAAAAGGGGCUUUCUAGCUCAACUGACGGUACCAGAUGAAUAAGCACCGGCUAACUCCGUG